UCUGACAGGCCCUCUUUUUCUCGGUGGGCUCGUGCAGCUACCAGUUAAAUUCCCAGUCCUCUACAAACAUUUCACUAGCGGCAUCAGAAAUGUUUACAUCGAUCACAAGUUCUUGGACCUCAGUCAGCCAUUGUACAACAACGGAACCAGUGCUAAAUGUAAAGCAAUGGGCAACACGUACGCAUAUAAACCUUGCAAGCGAGGCACGUGUUUUAACAUACUUGGUUCUCGCCGGUGUGACUGCUCCACUGGGUUUGAUGGAAGUCGCUGUGAAACUGGUGUAAAAUACACAGAGAGAUUCUCAGGACAGAGGUUUAGGAGGGUGCCUGCCAUCUCAAAGGUCAAUCUUCCGUGGAGUGUUUCAAUGAGAUUCCGCACAGCCAAGCCUUCAGGAACUCUGCUUGAAAUCGCUUUUUCGUCACCAUCUUCGGUGUCGGAGUAGGUUGAUGGUAAACUGUAAUACAACUACAAAGGGCUGUUGGUUCUCCAAUUGCCUCACAUAGCGGUGAAUGAUACCCAGUGGCAUCACAUCGAGAUCCUCUGGACAGAUUCUCCCUUAACAUAACAAUGGACUACAUCUACAAAGUCUCUGCAGAUGCAUCCAGUGGAAAAGACCUUGGAGUUGUCAGACAGUUUUUCAUGGGAGCGAGGAAGAAUUCUACCAAGUCUGCAGUGUAUGAUGGAUUUAGAGGCUGUAUACAAGGGGUUUUUGUCGGGAGCACUGAGAUCAACAUGAACUCUGGAGUCAAUCACAAAACAGCAUCCAUCUGGUUGUGAAGAGAAAAUGAGAAGCCACUGCUCAUCGAACCCUUGUCCAGACUAAAGUACGUGCCAAGAGGAAUUCGACUCCUACAAAUGCAUAUGUCCCGUAGGUUACGGUGGUAAACAUUGCGUGCGCAUAUGUUCUCUUAAGCCGUGCCGACAUGGCAAAUGUGAAAGUUCAAACCAUGGAAAGGGAUUCCGAUGUGUUUGUCCUCAACAGUAC